ensembl:lncRNA
GUGAAGACAAUGGGUUUGGUUUACUUUUCGCAUUGGCCUGUGUCAAUCGAGGUUGAGUUUAGUGAGGGUUCAAAGUUUUCGAUCUAGAUCUAGAUCGCUAUUGUCACUUUAUACAAACUGAAAGUAUGCGUUGUUGCGUGUUUGUUUUUGAGGGCAUUUGACUGAACAGCCCAGACAAAUAUUGCUACCAACAUGGCACUUCGAAACAGACCACCGCAGUGAGUAAAAGUUAUUUUCCUUUAUUAAAUGUUGACGUUUUUGGGCUGUCUCCUCAGACACAGCCAUCAGUAUCCCUGCUCUUUGCACCUUGACAUGCAUGUCGCCGCUGUUUGUUAACCUAGCUUUGCUGAUUUGUAUCUUGUGAUGUGUGUGUGUGUGUGUUUUUCUUAACAGGUGUUGGAUGACUGACAAGAUCUAUGGGGGGGCCCCCUUUGGGCCCCCCCAUACCAACUUAGUCUUCAAAAGGAAUCUAGUGCCAUGGGACUCCAGUGUCUUCAAAACUUCCUCGGAAUGUGUAUGAUUGGUCCACCGAAGGGUUGAUCUGGAAGCCACCACGGUCCACACAGUAAUCUGCUGCGUGGGCCGUAGUGGCUUCCAGAGCCAUCUUUCGGUCUUGGUCAGGAUUUGUUACAGUUGCCCUUCAAUGUAGCAGGCUACGGGAUUCUGAAGAAGCCUGCUUUACGUAGCAUUGGAGUACAAAUAUUGUGCAAAAUGCUCAUGUAAUUGCACUAGCACUAGUAACCUGUAGAUUAGCUUAGUUUAACGUCAUUCCGUGCUGUCUCUGUCAAAUGUGUGGCUUACUUUAAGUCCACAAGGCCCUCUGGUAAACCACGUUGGAACACCCCUGGACAAGGUGAUUAGUCACUGGGUGUGUGCUAAAGUUUUGUUCCAUUUUUCACUAGUUGGUUAAGGUUUGGUAGAAUUGUUUGGAUGCUAGCGACGUGAUGGCGUAUGUACAAGAGCCUACCGUGGCCAGGCCACAGUUGCGACGGCCACGGCCAGAUGGCCUAGUGUGAGUGCAACCUUGAUUGCAUUUGUAUACUGUUUACCAUUGGAUGUUUAUGCUAUUUGGCUUAAUUAAUCCGCAGUAAAGCUGCAUUUGGCUAUUCCAGGGUCGUUUUGUACAGGCCUUCAAUUGACCAUGUUGACUAGUUUGUGGGAUUUUUUUUUUUUUUUUUUACCCUUGCUUACAAUCCAACGGUUGUGACCACUUAUGCAACUGGGCUGUGAACCUUGCAAUUCUAGUUGCAUAUUUGUAUACGCAAGCUUGUCCAUUUCUAUCGCCAUCACUAACACUAGCUUCAGCAUUUCCUUGUAGGCCAUUAAAUGACUUGUGUAUUGGAGCGAUGAUUUGGGUAUUUUAAGAUGCUUGAAAACCUAAAAUAAAGCAAAAUGCGUUUCUGGUGUGCAAGAGCCAAUUUGUUGGCUUGCAGUAGUCGAGGAGUUGCCGUAGGUCGUAACCAUCUGGAGGUUGUGGCAAUGGAGGCUCGUGGUAGAUCUGCCAUCCAAGAAAGGGGGACUUGACUGGUGAGUCUACUGGAUUAAUCAGUAGCGGUACUUUGCCCAACAGAUUUGAUGGCAUGACUACAGGUUGGUGGUUCAACACUGAUGUCUCGCUAGGCUUGAGGGAGACCUCACAAGUAAUUUACACCAAUGUCCUGGAGGAAUUGGGAAUACACUUUUAUUUAGUCUACCUGACCAGGGACAUCUUAGAACUAUAGGUCACCUAAGCCAAACUUUUCACUCUUGUUAGGUUGUCCUUUUCUCAUUUUAAACCCGAAAGGGCCGAAAUAUCAACAUUUCAGGUAUUCUGUUUGGAUAAUGUGCAAAACUUGUGGCUUCACUAAUAAAAAAAAAUAACAAAUGUAUUUUUCUUAAUGUGGUUAAACUAUUUAAAGAUUUGCAUUCAAAAUAUUUCUGCUCAAUUUGUGGUCAAUGAAACUCUGAAAUUUUUUAAUUUGAUAAAACGCAACUAUGGGUUAAAGGUAUACAUCUUUUGAUAUUUUUAGAAUCUAGCUCCAUUGCUGUUAGAAAUGGUGUCUCCCAGUACUGCAAAGUGCUUCCACAUGUUUAAAAAAUAAUGGGCAGAAAAGGAACUGCCAACUAAAUCUAUUUAACAUGGGUAGAAAGUUUCCAUGGAAGGUCUUGGCUGCUGGUUCCCAACACAGCUCCACUGUUAGCCUGUGACCUUCCCUUUAACUUUUUUCGACUUUUGGUGACUUUCACAAAAGAGAAAUGAACUUGUUAAUACAAUAAACAAGACAUUUCAUGGUACCAUUUUUGAACUGUUUGUGGAUAUUGCAUUAAAUCCAUAUGCUUGAAACUUUUCAAUAAUGCAUAUCAACGAAACAAUGGAAUGAA